rnacentral:tRNA from 1 species
GCAGGGUCAUGGUCAGGUCAUUGGCCAAACCGGCUUUAACCUGGUUGGUGGUACCCUUCCAGACCGGAGCCUGUGCCAGCUCGGUGCCCUUCUG